rnacentral:misc_RNA from 1 species
AACGCACAUUGCGCCCUUUGGUAUUCCGAGGGGCAUGCCUGUUCGAGCGUCAUUUCAACCCUCAAGCUUCUGCUUGGUAUUGGGCUUUCAUCCAUUUCUUUAGAGGAGGAUGUGCCUAAAACUUAUAGGCGGUUUUAAUCAACUCCUUUGCGUAGUUAUUUUUUCUUUCGCUCUGGAUUUUUUGGUUUAUAACUCGCCCAAUAACCUUUUUAUUUUUCAAAGGUUUGACCUCGGAUCAGGUAGGGAUACCCGCUGAACUUAA